AGAGUUUGAUCCUGGCUCAGAACGAACGCUGGCGGCGUGGAUAAGACAUGCAAGUCGAACGAGAGAAUUGCUAGCUUGCUAAUAAUUCUCUAGUGGCGCACGGGUGAGUAACACGUGAGUAACCUGCCCCCGAGAGCGGGAUAGCCCUGGGAAACUGGGAUUAAUACCGCAUAGUAUCGAAAGAUUAAAGCAGCAAUGCGCUUGGGGAUGGGCUCGCGGCCUAUUAGUUAGUUGGUGAGGUAACGGCUCACCAAGGCGAUGACGGGUAGCCGGUCUGAGAGGAUGUCCGGCCACACUGGAACUGAGACACGGUCCAGACACCUACGGGUGGCAGCAGUCGAGAAUCAUUCCCAAUGGGGGAAACCCUGAUGGUGCGACGCCGCGUGGGGGAAUGAAGGUCUUCGGAUUGUAAACCCCAGUCAUGUGGGAGCAAAUUAAAAAGAUUGUACCACAAGAGGAAGAUACGGCUAACUUUGUUCCCAGCCGCCGCGGUAAUACAUAGGUCUCAAGCGUUGUUGGAAAUCACUGGGCGUAAAGGGGGCGUAGGGUGUUUUGGUAGUGGGGUGUGAAGGGCGCGGGGCUCAACCCGCGGGCGGCACAUGAUACUGCGGGACUAGAGUAAUGGAGGGGGAACCGGAAUUCUCGGUGUAGCAGUGAAAUGCGUAGAUAUCGAGAGGAACACUCGUGGCGAAGGCGGGUUCCUGGACAUUAACUGACGCUGAGGCACGAAGGCCAGGGGAGCGAAAGGGAUUAGAUACCCCUGUAGUCCUGGCAGUAAACGGUGCACGCUUGGUGUGCGGGGGCGCAAGUCCUCGGUGCCGGAGUUAACGCAUUAAGUGCUCCGCCUGGGGAGUACGUACGCAAGUAUGAAACUCAAAGGAAUUGACGGGGACCCGCACAAGCAGCGGAGCAUGUGGUUUAAUUCGAAGCAACGCGAAGAACCUUACCAGGGCUUGACAUCCCUCUGACAGGACUUUAAUCGGUUCCUUCUUCGGACAGAGGAGACAGGUGGUGCAUGGUUGUCGUCAGCUCGUGUCGUGAGAUGUUGGGUUAAGUCCCGCAACGAGCGCAACCCUUGUCAUUAGUUGCCAGCAGUAAGAUGGGCACUCUAAUGAGACUGCCGGGGAUAACUCGGAGGAAGGUGGGGAUGACGUCAAAUCAUCAUGCCCCUUAUGUUCUGGGCUACACACGUGCUACAAUGGUCGGUACAAAGAGCAGCGAGGCCGUGAGGCGGAGCAAAUCUCAAAAGCCGAUCCCAGUUCGGAUUGUAGGCUGCAACUCGCCUACAUGAAGUCGGAGUUGCUAGUAAUCGCAGAUCAGAAUGCUGCGGUGAAUGCGUUCCCGGGUCUUGCACUCACCGCCCGUCA
rnacentral:rRNA from 1 species